CACGCCGCAGCUAGACAAAGCCCGCACGCAGCAACGAAGACCCAAUGCAGCCAGAAAUAAAUAAAUUAAGUUAAUUAAGAAGCUACUGUGGAGUUUUGGUGUAGUAUCAAAGAAUAACCACAGUUAUCUGGAAAAGCUAUUAAAAUACUCCCUCGCUUUUCCAACAACAUGUCUUUUUCAUACAUUUCCACCAAAAUAACAUAUUGCAACAAAUUGCAUAAAAAGGCUGAUACGAGAAUCAGUUUCAGUCCUACUAAACCAGUCGAAAGGAGAUCUGUAGAAAGGUAAAACAUUAAUCCUCUAAUAUUUUUGUUUUGUAAAGAUAGUUUCUUGCAUUUAAAUGUGUUAGUUGUGUUACUAUAUGAUGAAGUUAUUGUUAUUUUGAAUGACUUUUUUUUUCUUUUUGGUGCCAUGGUGCACAGCUUGCAGGAUCCUAGCUCCCAGACCAGGGAUCGAACCCAGGCCCUCGGCAGUGAAAGUGCAGAGUCCUAACCACUGGACCGCCAGGGAAUUCCCUAAAUGAAUAUUUUUAAAUUGUCUCCAUUUUUAUUUCUAAUAUCAACAGAUAUAACUCAUAUAAACAAAAACUCUUUUAUGGUCCUCAGAAAUUUUUUUAAGUGUAAAAGGAUCUUCAGACCAAAACCUUUGAGAAGUGCCAUACAAAAUCAUUAAAAUUCCACUGCUUCUGUUCAUGCUUCUAGUGGUACAGACAGUUCACAGAUAGGUCAUGCACUACCAUUCCAGAAUCUUCCUUAUAACUAGGAGUUUCUGUAGUGUCUUUCAACAUUGCUUCUCCUUUAGAGAAAUUGGUUGUUUGAGUUUUUAUUAGGUUUUCUCAGUCUUGAAAAAGUUUAAGCUCUCCUUACUUCAGCCCACUAUUCUUUAUCAUAAGGAAGAAUAUCAAGCAUAUUAUUGUUAAAAGAGAGAAAAGCAAAUCCAAAACAAUGGAACUUUUCAAUUUAAUUAUAAAAACAAGUAGUGGCCAAUAUUUAUGUGCACUUACUAUGUGUCAGGCUCUGUGCUAAGUGCUUUAUAUUUAUCUUCUCAUUUAAUCCUCUCAACAGUGCCUAAAAAUAGGGCGACCAUAGUCCUCAGUUUGCCUGCAGUGGUCCUGGUUUAUGCCAUUUGUUCAAGUAUAAUUAUUAAUAAUAUCCCCCUGCCAGCACAUAAGUUUCCCAGUUUGGACAUAAAUUAUCUGAUCACCCUCCCUGUAAAAAUUACUAUCCACAGUUUACAAAUUAGGAAACUGAGGCACAGAGAGAUUGAGUGUCUUGCCCAAAGUACACUGGUAGUAAAUGUGGGUGUGGGAUCCUAACCCAGGUCUGUCUAGCUUUGUAGUUCAGCCUUUUAAAGAAUUACAAACUGUUUCACAGUGAUAUCAGUGCUCCUGAGAUUUAUGUUGACCCCAACUAUAGUAAUAUAUUCCAGAAUAAAAGAAAGUAGAACACAGAAAUUUAAGAUAAAAUUUUAAAUUCAGCUUCAGUUGUAAAACACUGAUGUGAUAGACGUGCUGUUCCGACACUCAUCUUUUACACAGUUCAGAGGCGCACACUUGCUAUCAACAGUUUGCAGAAAACCAAUGCUGCUUCUGUGUUGGGGCUUGCGGGGGAGUGCAGUUCUUGCUGGUUCAGUAAAGCUGAAGGAUGCCUAUUUAUAAAACAGGAAAGGUGGACCAAACUGUUAGAGGCCUUCCUAAUAGGGAUUCUCCCUGGUUAUAAGUAACAAUGCAAGUUUCAUUGGGUGUAUAAAUGUGCCUAGCUUAAAACUACAUCUCCCAGCAGUCUCUGCAGAUGAAGGACCUGACCAUGCUAUGCAGUCCUGGCCAACGAAAUUCCUGGAGUUUGAGCAGCCAUCUUGUGACUACAAAGGAACAAGCACAAGUUAAGGAUGGCUAGGUGAAGGGAAGAGAGAAGGACCUGGCUCUCUGAGGACAUUGUGGAUCUACCAAAUCAACCCUGGACUGAAAAAGACAUAUAAAACUGUAGUGAAUGAGAGUUCCUGUUCUCUACAUCCUCACCAGCAACAGGUGUUGGCAACUUUUUCUGGAUUUUCGUAAUUCUAAUAGGGUUUUGAAAUUCAGUCCUCAGAUGAAAUCUCAAGGGGACAUGUGACAGGGUGGAAAGAGUAAGAAGUUGAGUCAGAGGGACUCUGGCUAUAGCAUUUAGAUUCUAAUGCAGCAAGUCCAGGGCUGGACCCAAGGAGUCUGGAUGUAAGCAGCAUCCCAGGAGAUCCUGAUGCAGUUGGUCCCUGGAGAAAUACGGCCCUAAACAGGAUGCUCCGGAGGGCGUCGUGCUGGUCUCUGGCACACAGUGGCGGGUCCUGAAUUCCUGCAGCCAGAAAUCACCGGGGACUGUGAACCCACUUGCCUGCUGUGGACACCUCCUACAAACCUGAUUCGGAACUUGGAACCCGGGGCUGAUGACCGCGGAGAGCCCCUAUUCCACUGUCUUAGUUUACACCGGGGGAACUGAGGCUCAGAGUCGCACAGGGAGCUGUUCCGAAUUACAAAUCAGCUGCACUGCAUGGCAUGUGGAACUUCCCCAACCAGGGGCACCAGGGAUUGAACCUGUGCCCCCUGCAGUGGAAGUGUGGAGUUUUAACUGCUGGACAACCAGGGAAGUCCUGUCCAUGUAAUUCUUGAUGGUUGUGUUUCACUGAAGCCAGUGACAAAGCUCAAGGAGCUGCCUCCCUUUGUGCCAAGGAAAAGUUCAGCCCACGCACGAUCUGGUCCGCGUGAGGGAGCCCUCACUUCAGCCCCACCCCUAACCACCAGAAGACUCAAGUCGCUUCUCCCUGCUUUCUUCAGCUGUUUUUGGACCUUCUUUGGAGACUGCCCUGCUCUUCCCAGAAAGCCUGAUUAUGUCACGCCACAGGAUGCGGGAUCUUAGUUCCCUGACC